UACAGAGGUCUCGAGCGUUGUUCGGAUUCAUUGGGCGUAAAGGGUGCGUAGGCGGCGGGGUAAGUCUGAUGUGAAAUUCCAGGGCUCAACCUUGGGACUGCAUUGGAUACUGCCUUGCCCGAGAACUGGAGAGGAGACUGGAAUUUACGGUGUAGCAGUGAAAUGCGUAGAGAUCGUAAGGAAGACCAGUGGCGAAGGCGAGUCUCUGGACAGAUUCUGACGCUGAGGCACGAAGGCCAGGGGAGCAAACGGG
rnacentral:rRNA from 1 species